UUGAACUUAAACAGUGUUAACCUCUUUCUUUCCUUCCUCCCCAAGUCCAACCCUCAUUUCCUAGUCAAACUAAUCUUUACCCUUUUUUGUGCUACAAUAUUUUCAACUCUUCAAGUAAACUCCAAAAAAAAAAGUGGUAAAUAAAGCAGCAAAUUUCACUCCCCCCUCAAAAAAUACACAUUACAGUCCACAUUUUCUAUACCAGCAGCAGCAGAAGAAGAUAUCCCCCUCUUCACUCUUCUCCCUUUCUCUAUCUUCUUUCUCUCUCCUUUUUUUUUUGCUUCAUCUUCUUCUUAUGGGGCUGCUCAUUUCUUGCAUCAUUUAAUCAAUCUUUGUUUUUGUUUUUUAAAUUCUUCUCGAAUCUUUCACAAAUCUUCUUCGUUUUCCUCCCCUUUUUCUGAUCUGGGUUUUUCUUUCUGAUUAUUACACUUGCAAAAUCAGAAAGAAAAAAACUGUAAAAAAAGAUUCAAUCUUUGGGUUGAUUUUCAACUGGAAUUUUGUUCUUUUGGACUAAUUUCAAUGAUUAUGAAGAUUUAAAUUCAUGGGUUUGUGAAGAAUAUGUGCAAAAUUUGUUCUUGCAUUCAGUUUAUGAUAAAUCAGUUCAUUGCUUGAAUUUGCUAUUUGUGGGAGUUUUGAGUAAUGGGGAGAGGUAGAGGGAAGGGAAAGAAGUUGACAGUUACGAGCCACGACGAUCCGGGUAGUGGGGAAGAGGAGAAGAUCCCUGCUCAAAAGAGAAGAGGAAGACCUCAAAAGCCAUUGAAGGAUGAGGUGGAUGAUGAAGAUGUAGUAGGAAAGGUAGAAGAGGAGGACAGUGAGAAUAAGGAUUCGAGUAUCACGACCGCCAUUGAUAGUGGUAAGAAGAGGAAAAGAAGCUCUCCAUCAAAGGAGAAACAAAGUCCUGUGAAAGAAGAAAACAGUGUUGGAGCUACCUUAGUUUCAGAAAUUUCAACCAAGCCUAGUGGUUUUCGACAUAUUGGGAGCAGGAGGAAAAACAAGCCUCGACGAGCAGCAGAAGUCGGGGUUGAGUGCUAGUGACAUAACAAGUGAUAUAUAAUUAGUUGAGCUAGCCUGAGCCCCAUUUUGUUAAUGGUUAGAUUUGUUCUUGGGCUCUCGAGUCUUCCGGUAAGGCGCGCCUGAAACCUUUCAGGCUUUUGCAUUCUUUUGUCAUUUGCCCUAACAUUUUGGCUGCUUUUCAUUAGUUACUCUUUGAUAUUUUUUGCCGAUUAUCCAAUCAUACUGUAAUAAUGACUAUGAUAAUUGACAUGUUACUAGUUGAUUUCUAGCAUUCAAUUGCUUUUUUUGCUA